GGAAAACUACAGGCGAAUAUCCGUCGAAUAUCCCACCUGAAACUGUCUUUGCCUUGAUGUUCACAACUCGGCAAAACAAUGUCAAUCUCAGAAGAAGAUGUAAAAAUCAUUAAGAAAGAAUAUCUUGAAGAAAGAGACGAGACGAGGAAAUGGAAAGAAAGACAGAAACCACGUUUCCAUCCACAGUUUUUAUGUGAGUAAAUUCAUGCAGUCUAAAAUAAAAUCAAGACAGCUGUGAUGGAAACAGGAAGUUUCAGUACAAUUUUAUAAAUGCCAAAGAUCAUUUGUUCGUUCGACAUGGGAUCUUUUUGUGUCUGUAUAAUGUAUUAUGCAAGAAAUGGCAGUGGAAACGCCUUUAUGCGCAAUUAUUUAUAUAACAGCAAUCAUAUUGAAGCAAAGUUGGACAAUCACACCAAGUAGACUAGCCUACCUGGCCUCACAGCCAACCCGCACUGAACCUGCAAGCUGUUGGCCGGAGCGCACGUGCCAAGACCAGAGACUCUAUAGUGUCUCCUACAGAAAAUAUGAAGAGUUUGGUCACCCCCUUGACAAAUGGCAAGUCACUCCAGAUGGAAGUCAGAAAUGCUACAGGAAGUGGUUCAUCUGUACCUUCAAGAAGCAAUUGGAAGAAAAACGCACAUUGAGAAUGGAUGCCAGGAUGCAAUUCCAGAAGCUUGGACACAGAUAUCAAAGGAAGAUGCCUUGAAGGAGAUACAUUUCAAGCAAUAAAGAAACAAUAGGUCAUCACUAAACACAAACACUGGAUAUGAAUUUCUACCUCAAAUAAAACUUUUUGAAAACAUUUUCACUAAGAUUCUAGAGAUGGAAAGUAGAAGCAACUCAUGAUGGAGUAUUAUUAUCUUGUUCAUAGGGAACAAACUAACAAUUAGGAGAACUACAUCAAUGCUCAAAUUAAGAUAUUUAGUAGGGAACUGCACACACUCAUAAAUAUAGUCAUACUAUACCAAUCUUCAUUGUUAAGAUUGUUUUACUUAUUGUUUAUGCUUAUACAUAAUUUAUUCCAAGCAUGAGAUAAUUAUGAUUAUUUUUUAUUUUUUAUUGUUCUGUCAUUUUCUUACAUUGAAUGUUAAUGGUAUAUAUAUUUCCUUUUUGUUUGAACUUUAUAAAGUAAUCACAGGCAGUUAGUUGAAAGGCGCUAUAACCGAGAAAUGUACAUGUAAGUAAGUUGAAGAUGUUUGUAAAGCAUGGUUACUAAUUGUAUUCAAUGUUUUAAAGACAGUUAGGACAGGAACAAAAUGCACUGUAAAACCAUGAAACAUGUG
rnacentral:lncRNA from 1 species